AGCUGGGACAGCUGAGAAUUCAGGGCCUGAUCCAACGCCCAUUAAAAUUAUUGGAAAGGCUCCAACAAGCUCUGGGACACGUGGCAGCGUGCCCCUCCUGACGCAGCACAUCUCGGGGCUGCAGCAUGCACUCACACAGUGCAAAGCUCACGGUCGCUCCAGCCACGUCUGUACCAGCCCAAGGCUCAUCCCUGGGAUGGGGGCUGGAGAAGGCACACUCAGCCUGCGUUUAAGCACAGCACACCAGCAGCAGUCCAAGGAGCAGGUUUAUGGAAGAACGUUCUUCCUUUUAGUGCACUUCUGGCUGAAAGAUCCAUGCUUAGGAUACCUGGUGACCAACAGAAAUGCGAACAGCUGUUAAAAGUCUCUGAUCAAGAAGGCCUGAUAACUCCAACACUGAGAAAAUCCCCAGACUCCAUAUUGCCGAUUACUUCUCCAACCAGUAGCUGGUUUGCAAGACCACAAAAUCUGGUACCGUUCAACAGAAUGCUGAUGGCUAAAUAGAAAUGGUCCACAAAUAGGGCUCAGUAGUGCUACAGAAAUAUGAACAACAACAGGAGAGGCAGCACACAACAUGACUAAUGAUGAAGUAAUUAAAGCUUAGAGAAGUGUUUAUUGCUGGAUGUUGUGCAAUUCUCUAAAGAUGUUAUAAAUAUCAACAAAGUCUCUCUCUCUCUC
ensembl:lncRNA